UACGUAGGGUGCGAGCGUUGUCCGGAAUUAUUGGGCGUAAAGAGCUUGUAGGCGGUUUGUCGCGUCUGCUGUGAAAUCUCAAGGCUCAACCUUGAGCUUGCAGUGGAUACGGGCAGACUAGAGUGUGGUAGGGGAGACUGGAAUUCCUGGUGUAGCGGUGAAAUGCGCAGAUAUCAGGAGGAACACCGAUGGCGAAGGCAGGUCUCUGGGCCACUACUGACGCUGAGAAGCGAAAGCAUGGGGAGCGAACAGG
rnacentral:rRNA from 1 species